GGCCGCGGUACCCUAACCGUGCGAAGGUAGCAUAAUCACUUGUUCUUUAAAUCAGGACUAGUAUGAAUGGCCCCACGAGGGUCAUGCUGUCUCCCCCCCUUAAUCAGUGAAACUGAUCUCCUCGUGAAAAAGCGAGGAUAACCCAAUAAGACGAGAAGACCCCAUGGAACUUUAAACUUGUACCACUGCUUCCCCCUACACCACAUUAACUGAAGCAUCAUGACUACCAGUCUUUCGGCUGGGGCGACCACGGAGAAAAACAAAACCUCCAUGAUGAAAAGGAAAUAUCCUUAAUCCCAGAGCCACUGCUCCAAGAAUCAACAAAUUGACACAAAUUGACCCAAACACCUUGAUCAACGAACCAAGCUACCCUGGGGAUAACAGCGCAAUCCAUUUCAAGAGCCCCCAUCGACAAAUGGGCUUACGACCUCGAUGUUGGAUCAGGGUAUCCUGGUGGUGCAGCCGCUACCAAGGG
rnacentral:rRNA from 1 species